GCCACCGUGGAUGGCUCAGUUGGUAGAGCAUGAGACUCUAAAUCUGAGGGUUGUGGGCUUGAGCCCCAUGUUGGGCA